GCCUGGCUGGCUCAGUUGGAAGAGCAUGGGACUCUUGAUCUUGGGGUCAUGGGCUCAAGUCCCAUGUUGGCUG
rnacentral:tRNA from 1 species